AGGGAGGGGGGGACACGGGUGUCCCUGGGGCGCCCGUGGGUGCCCGUGUCGGGGCGAGGAGCCCGGCGCGCGCCCGCGUGCCCGUGGGGCUGGGUGACCGUUGCCACGCGGCACGGCUGCCGAGGGGACUCGGCCUCCCGCGGAGCGGUGGCUCGGCGGAGAGCUGCCGUUUCCACCCUCCCGGCGGCCUGGCCGGGGCCUGCCGGCCUCCCGCAGGCCGGGGCUCGGCGCCGUUCGCCCGGAGGAGACCGUCGGGUGCCCGGCGUCUCCUCCCGCUUGCUCGGGGGCUCUGCAGGCGGUAAGAGGGGAGCGGGACGCACGAAGCGACGCCAGACCGGGCAGGGCGCGGCAGAGCUGGCUGAGAAACUCGGCGCUGGGAGCCCCGGCUGCGGAGCCACCUGCCUCUCGAUUUUCUAGCACGCUCUAAAUGAGUAAAAUGACCCACGACCAUUUGUAAUUCCGCACGCAUCAAUAAUACAAGGGAGAGAACAGCAGGCUUGCACAGGAUGACAGUAAAGUUGGAUCAAGCACGAAAGAAAAACUAUUAAAGGCCCCAUCUCAAAGA